rnacentral:rRNA from 1 species
AAGCGGGAAACCCACCUCAAAACCAGGUCUCGCUGAGAGCCGUGGAAGACCACCACGUUGAUAGGUCCGGUGUGGAAGCGCAGUAAUGCGUGUAGCUAACGGAUCCUAAUCGCUCGAUAGCGACACUUG